GUCGAAGGUGGGGCUGAUGACUGGGGUGAAGUCGUAACAAGGUAUCCGUACCGGAAGGUGCGGAUGGAUCACCUCCUAACAGGGAGACAACACAAUGAUUUUGAUGCCUGAGUGCUUUUAUUCUUAGGCCGAAAUCCUGUCACCUUAGGUCGAUCGGUACCUCAGCUUUGAAGUCAAGGAUCAACAGCAAUGUUGAUUGCUUGAUGGAGAUUUUUAGUUCCUAAACUUUGUCUAGGUCACACCCCAAAAGGGAUGAGACUCCUGGGCCAUUAGCUCAGGUGGUUAGAGCGCACCCCUGAUAAGGGUGAGGUCCCUGGUUCAAGUCCAGGAUGGCCCAUUCGGUGUUGGGGGUUUAGCUCAGUUGGUAGAGCGCCUGCUUUGCAAGCAGGAUGUCAGGAGUUCGAGUCUCCUAACCUCCACUGACCGAACUUGAUUCCCAUCUCCAAUUUUUUGGAGUUGAGCUCGAUUGGAGUGUGAUUUAGAUGUGUCCGCUGGAUGACCCCAGCUUCCUGUCAUUCCAAGUUUUAGGUUUAUGCCUUGAAUUUGGUUGAUAAGAUGCUGGGCUCGGAUCAAAUGAUCAAGCAAUUGAUGAUUUGAUUUGAAGUUCUAGCAGAACCUUGACAACUGCAUAGGUGAGUCUGGAAAAAACAAAGCAUCUUACAGAUGCAUUGUUUUGAAUCUGAUCUUCUGAAAGGGAGAUUGGAUCUAGAACAAUGAAAAUUCUUUUGAGCAAGAGCCGAGACUCUUGAGCGUUCUUUGAUUGGUGUCGAGCCAAUCUGAGUUUGAUUUUGUUUUUAGCAAUAAAAACUUGAGAAUCUGCUUUCAACGGCGGUAAGCGUUCAGGAGGUUAAUUGGUCAAGCUACAAAGGGCUCACG
rnacentral:misc_RNA from 1 species